rnacentral:rRNA from 1 species
UGAAAUGCGUAGAUAUCUGCAGGAACACCCGUGGCGAAGGCGGCUGACUGGAUCGCAACUGACGCUGAGGAACGAAAGCUAGGGGAGCAAACAGGAUUAGAUACCCUGGUAGUCCUAGCCCUAAACCAUCAGGACUUGGGGUGGCCCGCGUAGGCGGGUCGUCCCGUAGCUAACGCGUUAAGUCCUGCGCCUGGGGAGUACGGUCGCAAGACUGAAACUCAAAGGAAUUGACGGGGGCCCGCACAAGCGGUGGAACAUGUGGUUCAAUUCGACGCAACGCGAAGAACCUUACCUGGGCUUGAACCGCUACUGACCAACGGUAGAAAUAUCGUCUUCCCGCAAGGGACAGUAGUAGAGGUGCUGCAUGGCUGUCGUCAGCUCGUGCCGUGAGGUGUUGGGUUAAGUCCCGCAACGAGCGCAACCCUUAUUCGUAGUUGCCACCCGCAAGGGGGAACUCUACGGGGACUGCUCCGGAUAACGGAGAGGAAGGUGGGGAUGACGUCAAGUCAGCACGGCCUUUAUGUCCAGGGCUACACACGUGUUACAAUGCGCGGUACAGACUGUUGCGAACCCGCGAGGGGGAGCUAAUCGGAUAAAACCGCGCUCAGUUCGGAUUGCAGUCUGCAACUCGACUGCAUGAAGCUGGAAUCGCUAGUAAUGGCGUAUCAGAUCGACGCCGUGAAUACGUUCCCGGGCCUUGUACACACCGCCCGUCACAUCACGAAAGUGAGCUGUACUAGAAGUCGCCCAGCCAACCCCGCGCAAGCGGGGAGGCAGGCGCCCAAGGUAUGGCCCAUGAUUGGGGUGAAGUCGUAACAAGGUAACC